rnacentral:rRNA from 1 species
GUGGGGAAUUUUGCGCAAUGGGCGAAAGCCUGACGCAGCGACGCCGCGUGAGGGAUGAAGGUCUUAGGAUUGUAAACCUCUGUCAGGAAGCAUUAAAUGCACGGUUAUCAACACCAGCCGUGCUUGACUUAACUUCCAGAGGAAGCCCCGGCUAACUACGUGCCAGCAGCCGCGGUAAUACGUAGGGGGCAAGCGUUACUCGGAUUUAUUGGGCGUAAAGAGAAUUAAGGCGGUCAUGUAAGUCAGUGGUGAAAUACCUCGGCUCAACUGAGGAAUUGCCUUUGAUACUGCUUGACUUGAGGACAGGAGAGGAAGGCGGAAUUCCCGGUGUAGCGGUGGAAUGCGUAGAUAUCGGGAGGAACACCUGAGGCGAAGGCGGCUUUCUGGACUGGUCCUGACGCUGAUAUUCGAAAGCUAGGGGAGCAAACAGGAUUAGAAACCCGGGUAGUCC